AUCGAACGCUGGCGGCAUGCUUAACACAUGCAAGUCGAGCGGAAGAAGGCAGCUUGCUCCUGGAUUCAGCGGCGGGCGGGUGAGAAAAGCCUAGGAGUCUGCUUGGCAGUGGGGGAUAACGUCCGGAAACGGCUGCGAAUACUGCCUACUUCGUGAGGGAGAAACUGGGGGGUCUUCGGACCCGGCGGUAUCGGAUGGACGUGGGGCUGAUUAGCUAGUUGGUGGGGUAGUGGCUUACCAAGCCUAUGUUGGGUAGCUGGCCUGAGAGGGUGACCGGCCACAUGGGGACUGAGAUACGGCCCAGACUGCAACGGGAGGCAGCAGUGGGGAAUAUUGCACAAUGGGCGGAAGCCUGAGGCAGCAACGCCGCGUGCGGGAUGACGGCCUUCGGGUUGUAAACCGCUUUCGCCUGUGACGAAGCGUGAGUGACGGUAAUGGGUAAAGAAGCACCGGCUAACUACGUG
rnacentral:rRNA from 1 species